rnacentral:tRNA from 1 species
GCCAGGAUAGCUCAGCUGGUAGAGCACGUAACAUCAACCAACGCGGGUUGUAUAAUUCGCGCACAGCAAUUUUAUUGAUUUGCCUGUUAAGCACGUGGUCGUGGGUUCGAGUCCCGCUCCUGGCG